GGAGACUGCAGUUUGAGUUUAUGAGGAUUAAGGCUGAACUGCUGGUUGAUGUAUUUAAGCCUUCUGUAAGCAUCAGCCUGCAUCUGCAUCGCCAGACACCUCACAGGUCUUCCUUUCUGAAGAGCGUGAGCUGCUGUGAGGGCGAUGAUGAUGAUGAUGAUGACGAUGAUGAGUGUGAAGCUAUUUGUGUCCAUCACAGUUCUCCAGCUUGCACAUUUUGACAUAACUGCGGAAGCAUCUGAAUUCAAAGGCAUGAAAUCACCAAGCCCAGCGUAUAAAUUCGGGGACAUCAUUGCUUUUGAAUACUUUAGCAAAGGUACCGGAAAGCAACAGCUGGCCCUUUGUGCAUUUUGCUGUGUAUGUGGGUGAAGAGGAAGGACUGAGGAGUUUAAAAAAGCCAGAUGAGAACAUUUUCCUCCUUAAUGGGAUUAGGCCCCUUCAAAAGGAGCCCCAGUGUGUGUUUGGUAAACUGAAUGAUGUCCCACAGAUGCUUGAUGGCAGUAUGACAUUAAGGAGAAGUUUGGCUAACUUCUUGGAUGACGGACUUAAAGUCAGGGGCAAAGAGGACAUGAUCAAGGAGAUCAAAGCUCUGCGCUCAAACUGCCAAGGCUGGAAUCCUUUAGUGAACCCCUGUAAGCACUUGGCCAUGCACAUCCGCUACGAUCAAAACAACAUCGAGCUGAAGGAGAAGUCUCCUGGAGAAUGUGUAAUUAAGAAAAAAUAACGGGAAAAUGAUGAUAAUUCUGCUUAUUCUAACUCAACCACAGAAUACGACCCAGUUUUCAUUAAUGUCUCUUCUUUUUUUUGUGCUUUGUGCUUUUUUUGCCCUAAUAAAGCUUCCUGCAUCAGA